UGGGGAAUAUUGGACAAUGGGCGCAAGCCUGAUCCAGCAAUGCCGCGUGUGUGAAGAAGGCCUUCGGGUUGUAAAGCACUUUUAUCAGGAGCGAAACGCUGUCGGCUAAUACCCGGCGGAACUGACGGUACCUGAGGAAUAAGCACCGGCUAACUUCGUGCCAGCAGCCGCGGUAAUACGAAGGGUGCAAGCGUUAAUCGGAAUUACUGGGCGUAAAGCGUGCGUAGGCGGUUUCUUAAGUCUGCUGUGAAAUCCCCGGGCUCAACCUGGGAAUGGCAGUGGAUACUGGGAGGCUAGAGUGUGUCAGAGGGUGGUGGAAUUCCCGGUGUAGCGGUGAAAUGCGUAGAGAUCGGGAGGAACAUCAGUGGCGAAGGCGGCCACCUGGGACAACACUGACGCUGAGGCACGAAAGCGUGGGGAGCAAACAGGAUUAGAUACCCUGGUAGUCCACGCCCUAAAGCGAUGCGAACUGGAUGUUGGUCUCAACUCGGAGAUCAGUGUCGAAGCUAACGCGUU
rnacentral:rRNA from 1 species